AUUUCAUCUAUAUAAACCCCCAGACCAGAAAAGCUAGAGUGCACAAGUGCAUAUAUAGGUGAGUAAAACUACAGUAGUAUUAAGCUAUUCCGUCAUUUCGAUCUACUCUCAUCUUCUCAUCUAUCUCAGCUCACAUCUAAACCAGGUUAUUACAGGAAAAUUAUCUGUUUUCUGCUACAACACUUUCUUAUUUCUCAGCCGCACAGCCCAACCACCAUUUUCCAGAUCCUCCGUCCUCGUCGGAGCACCGUCGUGGUGGUCCGGCGGUGUUUUUGAGUUUUAGAGGAAAAGACACUCGCCGGGGCUUUGUUAAGUCCCUGCACGAGGCUUUGUGUUGUGCAGGGAUCGCAGCGUUCAAAGACGACGUUGAUCUGAAAGGAGGUCGGAUCCAGCGAGGGCUGAUGGAUGCCAUUCACAACUCCUGGGUUUUCAUCCCGGUCAUUUCUUCCAACUAUGCCUCCUCGAAGUGGUGCCUUGAAGAGCUCGCGGAAAUCAUGAAAUGCGUGAAAAUGGAGAAGAGGACUGUUUUUCCGGUGUUUUAUGAUGUUCGGCCGACGGAUGUCCGGCACCUCAAGCCUCCGUUCUCCGCCGCGUUUGCACAGUUUCAGGAUUGCCGGAAGGUGAAGGUAUGGAAGCGUGCCCUAAGUGAAGUAGCCGACUUUUCGGGAUUUGACCUCAUCGACACCUACCAGAGCUAUUAUGAGCUUCUCCGUCAAAACUCGGGACUUACUCUGAUACCAAUUGUCCAUCCUCAACUGCAUGCUCAUCAUCUUAUAACUGUGUCACGAUUUCAAUGGCAGAAUAUUGAACUCGACUCUCCAAGUCAUCGUCUAACAUGAAGCUCAGCUCAGUCUUACUUUCUUCUACCCAAUGCAACCUCCAGCUGCCUGCAGGGUACAUACUUCAAUUCUUUUCUUCACCACCGGCGCGCCGCCGCUUCUGGCCUCGCCGCCAUGGUGCCGCCGCUUUCGGCCUCGUCGACAUCCCGGCCUGCACCGCCUCCAGGCCAUAACUAUAUCUCAAGUCUCUGCUAAGCAUGAAAUAAACCGAAACUAUACUAUAAGGCCGGCCAUCACGUACUACUAUAUCUCUGAUCUCAACUUCAACAUGGCCUUAUAGUAUUUCUUUAUUAUUAAUAUAACGCAGGGAUGAAGCGAAAUGCAUUGAAGAUAUAGCCCAAGUAGUCGGGAAGAAAGUUGAAGCAUUAAAGAGA